rnacentral:rRNA from 1 species
AUGAUCAAAUCCUUUUGGUGGGACAGCAAGCAAGGUCAACGAAAACCAUAUUGGGUUGACUAGGACACAAUGAGUAUGCUGAAGUAUAUGGACGGACCGAGUUUCCGUGAUUUUGAAAUGUUUAACUUAGCUCUUCUGGGUCAUCAGGCAUGGAGAAUUUUGCAAAAGCCAGAGUCUUUAAGUGCGAGAAUACUAAAAGCACUGUACUUCCCUAAUGGUGAUUUUCUUGAUGCUGAACUGGGUAGCCAUCCUUCACAGGUUUGGCGAUCAGUAGUAAUGGGACGUGAAACUCUUAAAACAAUGUUGAUUAGGCGAAUUGGCACUGACUUCGACACUCACAUAUGGAACAUGAAUUGGAUACCGAGGCGGGAAAGCAUGAGGCCCAUUGUUUCUUUGAUAUCGCAACCACCACAGAUGGUGUUAGAGUUACUCGAUCAUAUUAAUGCUAGAUCGAAUGUUGAUUUUGUCCGUCGGGUAUUCCUGCCUUAUGAUGCCGCAUCAAUCCUACAAAUACAUGUCUACGCAAGGGUGAUCAACGACUUAUGGUCGUGGAAUUUUCAAAACAAUGGUAAGUUUUCUAUCCGCUCUGCUUAUCGUAUGAUAGUUGACAUAAAGAAGGGGCGGGAAGAUUGGUUAGAGUAG